rnacentral:rRNA from 1 species
GAUGAACGCUGGCGGCGUGCCUAAUACAUGCUAGUCGAGCGAACGGACGAGAAGCUUGCUUCUCUGAUGUUAGCGGCGGACGGGUGAGUAACACGUGGAUAACCUACCUAUAAGACUGGGAUAACUUCGGGAAACCGUAGCUAAUACCGGAUAAUAUUUUGAACCGCAUGGUUCAAAAGUGAAAGACGGUCUUGCUGUCACUUAUAGAUGGAUCCGCGCUGCAUUAGCUAGUUGGUAAGGUAACGGCUUACCAAGGCAACGAUGCAUAGCCGACCUGAGAGGGUGAUCGGCCACACUGGAACUGAGACACGGUCCAGACUCCUACGGGAGGCAGCAGUAGGGAAUCUUCCGCAAUGGGCGAAAGCCUGACGGAGCAACGCCGCGUGAGUGAUGAAGGUCUUCGGAUCGUAAAACUCUGUUAUUAGGGAAGAACAUAUGUGUAAGUAACUGUGCACAUCUUGACGGUACCUAAUCAGAAAGCCACGGCUAACUACGUG